ensembl:snRNA RNU6-758P RNA, U6 small nuclear 758, pseudogene
AAAAAAAAAAAAUAGAAUGAUGCAGAGAAGAUUAGCAUGGCCUCUGCACAAGGAUGUGAUGUGGUUUGGCUGCAUCCCCAAUCAAAUCU